rnacentral:rRNA from 1 species
GAGGUGCUUGCACCUUAUCUUAGCGGCGGACGGGUGAGUAAUGCUUAGGAAUCUACCUAUUAGUGGGGGACAACGUUUCGAAAGGAACGCUAAUACCGCAUACGUCCUACGGGAGAAAGCAGGGGACCUUCGGGCCUUGCGCUAAUAGAUGAGCCUAAGUCGGAUUAGCUAGUUGGUGGGGUAAAGGCCUACCAAGGCGACGAUCUGUAGCGGGUCUGAGAGGAUGAUCCGCCACACUGGGACUGAGACACGGCCCAGACUCCUACGGGAGGCAGCAGUGGGGAAUAUUGGACAAUGGGGGGAACCCUGAUCCAGCCAUGCCGCGUGUGUGAAGAAGGCCUUUUGGUUGUAAAGCACUUUAAGCGGGGAGGAGGCUACUUAGAUUAAUACUCUAGGAUAGUGGACGUUACCCGCAGAAUAAGCACCGGCUAACUCUGUGCCGGCAGCCGCGGUAAUACAGAGGGUGCGAGCGUUAAUCGGAUUUACUGGGCGUAAAGCGUGCGUAGGUGGUCUUUUAAGUCGGAUGUGAAAUCCCUGAGCUUAACUUAGGAAUUGCAUUCGAUACUGGGAGACUUGAGUAUGGGAGAGGAUGGUAGAAUUCCAGGUGUAGCGGUGAAAUGCGUAGAGAUCUGGAGGAAUACCGAUGGCGAAGGCAGCCAUCUGGCCUAAUACUGACACUGAGGCACGAAAGCAUGGGGAGCAAACAGGAUUAGAUACCCUGGUAGUCCAUGCCGUAAACGAUGUCUACUAGCCGUUGGGGUCUUUGAGACUUUAGUGGCGCAGCUAACGCGAUAAGUAGACCGCCUGGGGAGUACGGUCGCAAGACUAAAACUCAAAUGAAUUGACGGGGGCCCGCACAAGCGGUGGAGCAUGUGGUUUAAUUCGAUGCAACGCGAAGAA